AUUGAACGCUGGCGGUAUGCCUAACACAUGCAAGUCGAACGGGUGGCGGACGGGUGAGUAAUGUCUGGGAAAAUGCCCGAUGGAGGGGGAUACCUACUGGAAACGGUAGCUAAUACCGCAUACCAUCGGAGGUGCCCAGAUGGGAUUAGCUAGUGGGUGGGGUAACGUCUCACCUAGGCGACGAUCCAUAGCUGGUUUGAGAGGAUGACCGGCCACACUGGAACUGAGACACGGUCCAGACUCCUGCGGGAGGCAGCAGUGGGGAAUAUUGCACAAUGGGCGCAAGCCUGAUGCAGCCAUGCCGCGUGUAUGAAGAAGGCCUUCGGGUUGUAAAGUACUUUCAGCGAGGAGGCGUUACGCGCAGAAGAAGCACCGGCUAACUCCGUGCCAGCAGCCGCGGUAAUUC
rnacentral:rRNA from 1 species